rfam:Parcubacteria (Falkowbacteria) bacterium GW2011_GWE1_38_31 TS91_C0005, whole genome shotgun sequence.
GCUUUCGUAGUUCAAUGGAUAGAACGCAAGUUUCCGGAACUUGUAAUAUAGGUUCGAUUCCUAUCGAGAGCA